AUUCCAAUUCCAAAAUUUCAAUUGAUAGAUUAUAUUUUAAUUAAACUAAUUAAAUGUAAAUAUAAAUGUAAACCUAUCUCAAAAAUGAUUGGAUUUUUUCUACAAAGUUAAUUUAUUUACUUUCUAUAUCAUACUCAUUUCCUGUUGCAAUCUGCUGCAACUAUAUGUUAUAUGGAGGCUGAUGAGAUUAUGAUACUUUCUUGGCCAGUUAGCCCACUAAAAUCAUGUGCUAGUUGAAUCUUAAAAGAACUCAUAAUAAACUCAAAUCCGAUUAUUAAUCAAGUUUGGAUACAAGUAGAGAUCUUACUCAUUUUGGU
rnacentral:lncRNA from 1 species